rnacentral:piRNA from 1 species
UGAAAAGAAACCCAUCUUCAACUGAAAAG